rnacentral:rRNA from 1 species
AGAGUUUGAUCAUGGCUCAGGGUGAACGCUGGCGGCGUGCCUAACACAUGCAAGUCGAGCGAUUUACUUCGGUAAAGAGCGGCGGACGGGUGAGUAACGCGUGGGUAACCUGCCCUGUACACACGGAUAACAUACCGAAAGGUAUGCUAAUACGAGAUAAUAUACUUUUAUCGCAUGGUAGAAGUAUCAAAGCUUUUGCGGUACAGGAUGGACCCGCGUCUGAUUAGCUAGUUGGUAAGGUGACGGCUUACCAAGGCGACGAUCAGUAGCCGACCUGAGAGGGUGAUCGGCCACAUUGGAACUGAGACACGGUCCAAACUCCUACGGGAGGCAGCAGUGGGGAAUAUUGCACAAUGGGCGAAAGCCUGAUGCAGCAACGCCGCGUGAGCGAUGAAGGCCUUCGGGUCGUAAAGCUCUGUCCUCAAGGAAGAUAAUGACGGUACUUGAGGAGGAAGCCCCGGCUAACUACGUGCCAGCAGCCGCGGUAAUACGUAGGGGGCUAGUGUUAUCCGGAAUUACUGGGCGUAAAGGGUGCGUAGGUGGUUUCUUAAGUCAGAGGUGAAAGGCUACGGCUCAACCGUAGUAAGCCUUUGAAACUGGGAAACUUGAGUGCAGGAGAGGAGAGUGGAAUUCCUAGUGUAGCGGUGAAAUGCGUAGAUAUUAGGAGGAACACCAGUAGCGAAGGCGGCUCUCUGGACUGUAACUGACGCUGAGGCACGAAAGCGUGGGGAGCAAACAGGAUUAGAUACCCUGGUAGUCCACGCCGUAAACGAUGAGUACUAGCUGUCGGAGGUUACCCCCUUCGGUGGCGCAGCCAACGCAUUAAGUACUCCGCCUGGGGAGUACGCUCGCAUGAGUGAAACUCAAAGGAAUUGACGGGGACCCGCACAAGUAGCGGAGCAUGUGGUUUAAUUCGAAGCAACGCGAAGAACCUUACCUAAGCUUGACAUCCUUUUGACCGAUGCCUAAUCGCAUCUUUCCCUUCGGGGACAGAAGUGACAGGUGGUGCGUGGUUGUCGUCAGCUCGUGUCGUGAGAUGUUGGGUUAAGUCCCGCAACGAGCGCAACCCUUGCCUUUAGUUGCCAUCAUUAAGUUGGGCACUCUAGAGGGACUGCCAGGGAUAACCUGGAGGAAGGUGGGGAUGACGUCAAAUCAUCAUGCCCCUUAUGCUUAGGGCUACACACGUGCUACAAUGGGUGGUACAGAGGGCAGCGAAGUCGUGAGGCCAAGCUAAUCCCUUAAAGCCAUUCUCAGUUCGGAUUGUAGGCUGAAACUCGCCUACAUGAAGCUGGAGUUACCAGUAAUCGCAGAUCAGAAUGCUGCGGUGAAUGCGUUCCCGGGUCUUGUACACACCGCCCGUCACACCAUGGGAGUUGGGGGCGCCCGAAGCCGGCUAGCUAACCUUUUGGAAGCGGUCGUCGAAGGUGAAACCAAUAACUGGGGUGAAGUCGUAACAAGGUA